rnacentral:lncRNA from 1 species
CCUUAUUAUUUAUGUAAUAAAACCUACAAUUGACUUUCCUGAGACUUGUAGCAUUCCUUAGACAGGGGAUACCUGCCUUCUGAAACACUGCUCAGAGAAACUGGAGCAAAUAUGCUAUUUUUGAGAUUUAGUCGCCUAUGGGAAGAAAAUCAAAAUUUUAAAUUAGGAAACACUCAGUGGAUUCUGUAAGUUUCUUCAUGGAUAUGCAGAUGAUGAAACUGAAGGGGAGAGAGUGAUUUUCUUAAAAUUGGUAUUCUGAAAUUUAAUGCAGUACUUAUGAAGUCUUUUAUACACUGCCAUUGGAAUGAGUCACUGGACUGUAUUCACCUAAAGUUCAGGUCUGGUCAACAUUUUAGACCCAAAGGUCAACAAACUAUGUAGAUUUGACCCAGAUAACAGAUGCAGUCUGGUACCCAUUUGUGUCAUUUUUAUGUGGCCAAACCUAACUUUGUGGUUUCAUCAUGACAGGCUUUAGUUUGCAGUAGAGAUCUUGUGGCUCAGGAGCCUGAAGAGUUUACUACUCAGCUCUGUGAAUCUUCUUUAAGAUGAUCUUUGAGAAUACCUUUCCAUGUCGUCCUUAAAGCAAGCUAUUGUCAUCCAUUGCUAGCAUUCAGAUUCUCAAGACAAGUAUGUCAUGAGAAAUGAACCUGCAAAGACUACCUGCUUUCUUACCACACUCAUUUCUCCUCACCACUUGUGCCUGCUGAAGUCUCUCCUCAAUCCUCUGCCAAGUGACUACUUGUUGUCUGGAAACUUCUGAGGACACUGGGGAAUCUGGUGGUAACAUGGGCAAGGAACAACUUCAGAAGAUGCAGAGUGAGUUUUGAUGGGAAAGAGACUCUUCAUGGGCUACUCUAGAACAAACAAUGGAAACGGAUCACAGGAAAGAAUGAAGGACAUGGUUCAUGUCUGAUUCAGGUGAUUUCUACAAACAGUUCCAGGAGCUUUCUCCAUUCUCCCAGUUGAGAUUGGCAUUAUGCUUAGAGAAGAAAAAGCGUCUCAAAAGAAAACUAGUCACUCUUGAGGUAGAAUUGCCUCACCUGAAGAGGGAGGAGGUAUUUUUCCUUUUCUCUGAGUCAAGAACUCAUGAUCACCAUCACCCAACCCUGCUCACACACACCCUGACCACCACGGGUCUCUAGGCACUUUAAAUUCUAUGAUUUAUAUGAACUCUUACAGGGACGCAGCUGUUCUCCUGGGCAUAUUCACAACACGUUUUUCCACCCACUCACCUCCCAAGGUGGGUUCUUAAGCAAGUAGCAAAAUGAGGUGUGGGCACUGACACAAAGACCAAUGAGGCAUUUUAAGAGAAGUUAAAUUCAGGAAGCUUUAGGGAAACAAACAAAAAUAAAUUUUAAGAAAUCUGUUUGCAUGGAAAGAUAAAACAAUAAUAGAAUGAGAGAGAGAGAGAGAGAGAGA